GACUGUCAUACAUGUAACUGACUACGUGGAGAAUUUUAUUUUGAGGCAAGUGUGGACAACUGCCACAGGAACUGUGCUCUCAUCACCCUGCUGUUUCCAGAAAGCGGGGAAUGUCCGUGAGCACGCUCCGGCAGCCUGUUUGCUCCUGCGCAGCAGCUGCCAAGAAAACCCACACCUUCUGCCACGACUGUCUGCCACAGAGGAGGAGGCAAGGGGCAGUGUGUCGUAACUGUUCUGUGAAGCGGUUCUUUCAUGUUUGCGUUUUCUGUAGUUCUCUUUGGGUGUCUUCCACUGAAUGCUGAGUCAGCCCGUCUCCACUCCUAAAGGCCUCCGCCAGAGAAGUCACCCUCAUCGGUGCCCAGGGCCCCUGGGAAGCCCAGGGUGGUUCCGGACCAAUGGUGCAUGUCACGGGAGAGAUACAUGUUCCUUUGCUUAUAUAAAUCUUUACUGUUGAUGUCAUGAAGAGGAGGACUCUUGAGGUUACUUCAUUCAUUUGUUCCUGUCGUUUGUUUCUGAGACAAUGCCUCAGGGAGCCCAGACUAGUUUCAGACUUGCUACAGAGCCUAGGCUAGCCUUCAACAGCUGAUCUUGUUUCUGCCCCCUAAGAACGGGAUCAAAGUGUGUGUCCUAUGCCCUGCACAACUGCUUAAUUCUGAAAUCAUUUUCACCUCUGGUUACUUGUUUCUCCCAAAUAAUGUUUUUACUUACAGACACUUGCUUCAUUGAAUCAGAUAGUUUUGUCAACAAAAUGAGUAAGAGCUAAAGUUUUGCCUCUUUCUGGGGCAAGCUUUUGGGCUCUCAGCCACCUCCAGCUUGGAGUUGCAUUCUCUAUACUGCGGCGCUGCCCAAAUUUAUUUCUAAUCACACUGAAGAUUCCUAGAAGAGAGCGACCACAUUAUAGUUCUGGGAGUGUGGCCAAGAUUAACAAUAUUUGCUGAAUGGAAUUUAAAUCAUGGUCAGCCCUGCUAGUCCCUAAAUGGGAAGCAUUAGCACUAAUGGGGAAGCUUGAAACCGGAGUAAGAAAGACCGGGGUAAAAGAGCAGGUUCUACCUCUGAUCUUGGGUCAGGUCACCAACUAAGCCCUGGAGUAGCUCUCGUUAGAAAAUGGGGGGUUUCAAUAACCGAGCCCGAGGGUCCUUGUAGCAAGCAGUUCAGUGAGCACAGCACAGAGCGCAAACGACCGUGCGUGCUUGCUACGGCCACACUCCCGUGGUCUCUCCAGAGGUCCUUCUCCUGGGGAAUGUGACGCCACCUUUCACUGCUACACACAGACGGGUCAGAGUGCCACAGCAAACUACCCGGGGAGCACCCAUCACAGAGGCCUGCGUUUGCUCGAAGUGGCUGAUGGAGCAGCGUGGUUAUGCUGUCUGUGUAACGUUUCCCUUUCCCUCUCUCGGCGCACUCUUACUUCAUUUGUGCCAGUGUUAGCUGGUGAGAGACGUUCAGAUGUUAUUUUGAGUAAACGAAAUCCUCAGAACUGGGAGUGUGAAAUGCUAUCAGUAUGGAUCAGAAGGAUGGCGGUGACCCCCAGUUCGGAGGAUAUGAUGGCAUUCAGGAAUUCAAUUACAUGAUCCCUCAGGCUAGUAAUGCGCAAAAUGGAAACAGACCCCUACCAUUUAUGCUCCAGAUACUAAGAGGUUAUCAUGAUAAUUACGAGCAUUGUUUCAGCACACAGAGUUUUCAAAUGUGCAUUUUUUGGUGUGUGUGUGUGUGUGUGUGUGUGCAUGCUAUGUUUGCGUGUGGGCAUAUAUUUGCACGCAUGGGGACCAGAGGUUGGUACAAAAUCUCUUCAGUAGCUCUCUACCUGAGCCGGAGCUUGCAAUUUCACUUAGACUGCCUAGCCAGCGAGCCCUCUGGGAUCUGCCCAUCUCUGGGGAAUACUGGGGUUACAGACAUGUGGGUCUAGUUUUGUAGGUGGGUUGUGAACACUUGGAACUCAUGUCCUCAUGUCCAAGCAGUAAUCUCUUUACCCACUGAACCAUCUCUUCAGCCCCACAGGUUUUUAGAAGCAAAUUCUAACCUAUGCAUUUCAUCCCUGAGGCCGAGUUUGGAAUACGAAAGAAAAGGUGCAGUGAUGCAGUCCUAGAAAUUCAGCAUUUGGAUGGCAGAGAUAGGGAGGUGGCCAGUUUGAGGCCAGCCUGGGUUACACAGCAACAAAAGGAGGAAGAGAAGGAGCCAGAGGAAGAGGAAGAGGAGGAGAAGGAGAAGGAAAAGAAACCAACCCUGACACUGUUGCUCACCCUCAGUCACCAUCACAGGUUCAGGUACAGCCAACCCAAGUCUGCAGGGAUUUUAACGGGCUGGAUCCAGUGCCACUCAAACCUCGAACGGGGUGAGCGAUCGCUCUUACCCAGCGAAGGCUCCAUGCCGCAGGUCCGAGCUAGGCACAGGACCAGAAAAGCCAAACCCUCAGAGACGGAGCCACUUCCUCCUGCUGAACAGCACCCGAGGCGGAGUCUGAGUCUUCCCUGGAAAUGCAUCUCCACCAGGGAGAGUCCUGGGACAGAGUGCUUGACCUUAGCAGACACUGGACAAUGGCCACAGAGCAGCAGGGGCCUGCCGACACCGGGAAAGACUGCUGGAGUUGGGUGGCCAAGCCGCACGUUUCCUGCGGGUCAACACUUGGGUAAAACCCCUGCUGUAGCAGUCAAAUGGAGGCUGGGGAUACAGGGGGCAUUAGGGGAGUUGGAUAACCGCGACGACCAGAUGGGAGGAAGGAGAGGGCGCUAAGCCAGUUCUGGCAGGCGAGCUGGCUGUCCCUCUCCCUGGGGAAGGUUCGCAAGGCCCUGCUGCCCUUCGCGUAUUCUUAUUUCUAAUGCAGCGGAUUAUAACAGGCUUCAUGGAGAGUAAAAAAACAAAACAAAACAAAACAAAAAACGUUUCCAAACAGCCUCCACUUGUUCCAGAAAGGGGCCCACAUCACAGACCACGAGCUUUAUAAAAUAACCAAGAAAAUCAGCAGUUUAAUGUCUUUGCAGCUGAGAGAGUAGUUACGAGAACGAAGAGAGAACAGACUGCAGAACGGCUAUAGCAGAGCCCACCAGGGUCCAAGACCACCACACCUGCACGAGCCACAGCAGCCAGGGCCAACUGCCAACAGACCGUCAAGCGCAACAGCGAGGAACAAACCAGAGACAAGCAGCGCCACUCAAAGCGUGACCGCUCCCGAACUGGAGAGAGCAUCAGAUCAAGCAGGAGGCAGACAUGCCCGGCAAGCCUGGGAGGGAUUUGCGAGACGAGACAGCACGGAUGAAGGCGGUCUGGAAACCAAGAAGCUUUUACUGUUUGCCUGCUGGCCCCUGCUUUCAACGGCAAAGUCCACCCCACCGCUGCCAUCGCUGCUGCUGGAUUCCUUUGCUAAUGCCAAAACCCAGCUCCUUCAGGCUUCCAGCAUGGACUGAAGACCAGUGGAACACGGAAUCCCCUGAUCAGGACCAGGCUGGGGCUGUCGGGACACCCAGCCUCACACACUGCACAGCUGCCAGGUUCGCAGCCUCCCCAGUGUGAUGACAGCUUACGACAGAUAAACCAGAGCGAGAAGAACCCAAGACUGCAUCUCAACCACUGCCUCCAUCCAGGAGCGGCGUCUGAGGCCAGGAAGGCGCUCCAUGAUCACACCCAUCUCAGCACACUAGAUUCAAAAAACCAAGUCACGUGUCGCAGCCACUUCCUACUAUCCACUGGAGUCAUGAUCAAACGGUCAAAAAUACCAGUAGAAAAUACCACACGGACAAGACCAGAGGAACACCCAUCUGUCCUAUUUUAGCGCCUGAGACGGCUCCGGCCAUCUGUCUUGGUACUCCUUCCAAGUUGGAGGAAGAAACUUCUCUGUUCUGUUCAACUCAAACUCUUCAAGCGGAGCCUCAAGACCAUUUUCAACACAUUCCAUUUCCAAACAGUUUGGAGUACAGCUAUUAAUCAUCUGGGUGAUGGGACAGUAUCAAGGCACAGGGUUUCGGGGAACAGUGAGUGAUGGAGUUAUAAAAGAGAGAGCAUCUGGAGGCCUUCAGGUGUGGCUGGGUCCAGGACUCUGCCGUUCGUCAGGCCCCUCCGCUUUCGGACAAGCUUUUUGACACGUAAAGGAACAGCAGACUGACGCCAUCACCAUCUAGAACUGAUCCCUCUACCACGGUGACCGUGACGGAGGAGAACACUACCGUCACAGAAUUUUCCUUCCAGUGGAGAGGAGAUGCUACGGUUUGAUUAUGAUUUGAGUGUUUGUCCCCCCACUCCUACCCCAAAUUCACGCCAUAGGAGCCUAACCCUGUGUGGCUGUGUUAGGGCGGUGGGGCCUGACGUCAGGUAAUUAAUUCAUGGAGGCUCACACUUACAAGGGACUAAGGCAGGGCUCGAGGGACUGCAGGUGCUAGAGCUGUUAUAAAAAACAAACCUGGCUCCUGGACCUGUCCGGUACGCUGUGGGAUCACUUCCUCUGUCACCCUGCCACGACUCCAUCUACCGUGCUGUGAAGAGCAUGGGGGCCUUCUCUAGAGGCUCAACUGAGGGAGUGGCGUGACCCUGGAUAUCUAGCCUCUGUGACUGUCAGCGCAAUUACAUUUCUUUGGGGGAAAAAAAAGCACCCUCUGGGGGCAUUUUGUUAUAGAACUAAUGUAGGGAUGUUAGAAGAUGAAGGUUUAAAAAUGCCUGAAAUUAAAAAAAAAAAGUAUUAUCUUCCACAAAAUAAGGCUAUGUACAUUUUUGCCAUUAUUAAAGGCAGCUUUCUCAUC